UACAGAGGGUGCGAGCGUUGUCCGGAAUCACUGGGCGUAAAGGGCGCGUAGGCGGUCUGCUAAGCGUGCGGUGAAAGCCCGGGGCUCAACCUCGGAACUGCCUUCGAUACUGCGGGUCUCGAGUCCGGGAGAGGUGAGUGGAAUUCCUAGUGUAGAGGUGAAAUUCGUAGAUAUUAGGAAGAACACCAGUGGCGAAGGCGGCUCACUGGCCCGGUACUGACGCUGAGGCGCGAAAGCGUGGGGAGCAAACAGG
rnacentral:rRNA from 1 species